AAUCAACGCUGGCGGCGUGCCUAACACAUGCAAGUCGAACGAGAAAGUGACUUCGGUCACUGGAUAGUGGCGUCCGGGCGAGUAACACGUAGGUAAUCUACCUUCGGGUGGGGAAUAACUCGCCGAAAGGCGAGCUAAUACCGCAUAAUGCAGCGGCACCUAAUGGUGAUUAGUUGUUAAAGCGGGGGAUCUUCGGACCUCGCGCCUGAAGAGGAGCCUGCGGCAGAUAGCUAGUUGGUGAGGUAAUGGCUCACCAAGGCUUCGAUCUGUAGCUGGUCUGAGAGGACGGCCAGCCACACUGGCACUGACACACGGGCCAGACUCC
rnacentral:rRNA from 1 species